GGUGAAGGCUGCUUUCUGAAGUGGAGUGCUUUCUUGCUAGAAACCCUCACCACCACUUGGACGAGGAAGAGCCAAAAGGAUCCCUGGCUUGAAGCUUAACCUUUUUUGACUUCACAAGGAGGAUGCCUUUGCUAUUUAAUUGGAAAGAAUGCUUGGUUUGGUUCUGCUUCUGACAACUGAUUUGUUGUGAGCAAAGGGUCUCUUACAGCUGGAGCCAUUUUCAUAAAAUGAAGGUCAGAAUUUCCUCUUCAUCAUUACUACCUUCCCUAAAUUGAUAGGUUUGUACAAGAAAAGUAUGUGCUAUGUGAUGAGGAAGAUGUGAGUUGGUACCUCUUUGUCCUCCAAGAGCUGACCAGGAAUGUACUUCAUAGAUGCUGAAGAAAUAGCACUUUCCCUAUCCAAAAUGAGAACAAGGGGUUGAAUACAAUGUGUAGAAAUGGGCAUGAAUGCAGUUCAACUAAAGUACAAGUUACUUGUUAGUGUGAGUGAAGGAUGGAUCUCAUUGGAGUAUGUAGAGGUUAUUGCAUCCAGUAUCUCAGUUUUUCUACAGAAAUUAUUAUAAGCCACUUAGUGUUAUAGCCAAGUGUUCAGACUUCACACAAAAACUGUUGCCAGCUUUUCUGAAGCUCAAAAGCAUUGAGCUGCUCCUUUUGUAACAGGAGUUGAAAGAUCAUUUUAAUUUUUUGAUUCCAGUAACUUGAUGAUGAUCAGCAAUUUAAAGCUCUAUUUGUGCAUUUUUUGUGUGACAGUGCAGAAAAUGUUUUUAAUGUUUUAAUUCCAAUAGCACCUGCUUAUAUAAUAAAGACCCUUCAAAACACAGGCCUCAAUUAUAUUAAGAAUUGAUGAAAACAAUUUGGAUUAAAAAGGAUAAAUGAUGAAUGGAGUAUCAUUUAAUCUGUGUUUAUUCUGUAGGAUUCUCCUACUAUCAUCGGUAUUAAUCAAAGUUGAUGUUAAAACAUAUGUUCAAUGGAAGUAGUAGAAUAUAUGCAAUCUGGUUAUGUGUAACAAAAUACAAUAAUAUUCCACUUUCCCUACACCCUUAGUAAAUAGGUAAGCUUAGACAUAGAGAACACAUUCACAGCAGGUUCUAGGAAGUAUACAUGGUUUUUUUUUAGCUUUUAUCUGGAAGAUCAACUUUCUUGGAAAGGGUUUCAAAGAUAGAUAAGUAUGUGCAUUACAGGGAGAAUAGCCAUACAGAAUGAGAGUGCAGUUAAAUGACAACAGUUAUUAAGCAAUUAGAAGGCCUGUUCUCGUGUCUGAAGAAUUUUUUUAUUGUUGAAAGCUACUUUGUUGACCUAUCUCCUUCAGUCUUGCAGACUGAAUUGUUACGUAUCUAUUUCUGCUUCUUGAAGGCAUUGUUCAAACUGACUUUAUUUUCCCCCUGUGAUACUUCUUCUGUCUUACCCUGAGUUGCCCCUUCAUCUUAUUGAUGGCUUUGAGAUAUUUCUUGUUUUGCAUUUUUCAUCUAUUGCUAAAAUCCAUUUUCUUCUGUUUGUGGUUAUAAAUAGCUCUCUUUUGUGCUGUUUCUUCAGCAUUUCUGCCUUACUUCUACUCAAUUUUUCUAUUAUCUGGCAGCUUAUGGCCUGUUCUUGAAUUAAAAAAUGAAAGAUUGUUUUCAUAU
ensembl:lncRNA